rnacentral:rRNA from 1 species
UACGACUACAUAUCAGGCAUAUCAAUAAGCGGAGGAAAAGAAACUAACAAGGAUUCCCCUAGUAACGGCGAGUGAAGCGGGAAGAGCUCAAAUUUGAAAUCUUCAAGGUUCUACCUUGACGAGUUGUAGUUUAAAGAAGUGUUUUCUGUUGGAGUUUUGGUAAAAGUUCUUUGGAAUAGGACAUCAUAGAGGGUGAGAAUCCCGUAUUUGACCAUUUCUUCCAGCUGUGUGAUACACUUUCAAAGAGUCGGAUUGUUUGGGAAUGCAGUCCAAAAUGGGUGGUAAAUUUCAUCUAAAGCUAAAUAUUGGCGAGAGACCGAUAGCGAACAAGUACCGUGAGGGAAAGAUGAAAAGAACUUUGAAAAGAGAGUUAAACAGUACGUGAAAUUGUCAAAAGGGAAGCGUUUGACACCAGUGUUGUUUUCUCGAAAAUCAAUUAAAAAUGACCGGAUUUUGUGUUGUAUUGACUUUAUCAGCUUUCUGCACUUUUUUCUUGUCUUUUUUAAUGCACUUUUCGUUUAACAAGUCAACAUCAAUUUCUUUUGUUGUAAAAGAGUCAUUGGAAGGUGGCUUUCACUUCGGUGAAAGUGUUUAUAGCCUUUGACUUCUGCAAUCGGAGAGAUUGAGGUCUGCAGCGUAGAUCCUUCGGGGUUAGAUACGUAGAUGCUAAGUUAUAGUUUUUCAUAGACAACUUGUUGACUAUGAUUAAUCAUGUAGCUUACUCGUUUGCGCUAUUUUACCUACGCUUAGGAUGUUGAACGCGCACAGAGUCUC